rnacentral:lncRNA from 1 species
GAAAGGAAAGCCGUCUCUCUUCCAUUCGGAGCAAGCAUCGUAAUCGUACCGCUAUAAAACAAUCCAUAGGAAGCGGAGCAACCUCUACGUAUUGCCCAUUCGCCAUCCUUGGUGAGUCCGGUUUUCUGUGCUACGUUAUUCUUAGAUCCAGCGAAAUCAUUGGUAUUGGUUUCAGAGUCCACUGGCUGUCUAGAAAGCCGAUUGUCAACUUGAAUGUUUACACAAGAAUCUCCAAUCCAAG